rnacentral:rRNA from 1 species
UACAGAGGUCUCAAGCGUUGUUCGGAUUCAUUGGGCGUAAAGGGUGCGUAGGUGGCGCGCUAAGUCAGGUGUGAAAUUUCGGAGCUUAACUCCGAAACUGCAUUUGAUACUGGCGUGCUUGAGGACUGGAGAGGAGACUGGAAUUCAUGGUGUAGCAGUGAAAUGCGUAGAGAUCAUGAGGAAGACCAGUGGCGAAGGCGGGUCUCUGGACAGUUCCUGACACUGAGGCACGAAGGCCCAGGGGGAGCAAAACGGG